rnacentral:misc_RNA from 1 species
CAACCUCAAGCACUAGCUUGGUGUUGGGGCGCUACGACGUCGAGCGUAGGCCCUGAAAAUCAGUGGCGGACCCGCUAUAGGUUCGGGCGUAGUAGCGAUAUCUCGACCCGGGAUCGUGCGGCGUGCUCCGGCCGUUAAACCCCCAAACUUACAGAAGG